CGGGGGAGGUCGAGCCGCGAGUCCUCGCACGGCCGGCGGCCGUGUGUGGGUACCGGGGCGGGCCCGGACGGUGCCUGGAAGCGCCUGCACAGCCGCGAGGAGCGACGCCGGGGCGCUGCGGAGCCCGGGAGUGCCGGGAACGUUGCGUCCCCCGCCAGCCCCAGGCAGCUGCUGGGGCAUUGCUGCCUGCUGGGGAGCCCGAAGCAGGCCGAAAGGACCCUCAGGCUUUCUGCAGGAGAGCUUCCAAGUGGAUUUUGAGGCAUUUUGAGGUGUUCUGGACAAUCCUAACAAGAGAGUGGAUUAGAGAAGAAUCACCUGUAUGGUUGAUUCUAUGUGACAACAUGAGGAGAGAAUUCAAGCAUUAAAUGGACACAGUAACUGGGCUACCUAAAACAUGACUCUGCAUGAUAAAGCAGGAUUGUACUUUGAAUGCUGCCUCCUGCAAGCAGGUGUGACUACUGGGAAGAAGCAGGGAAGGGAGAAGAAAACCUUCUGUCUGCCUGUCAGGAAGGCUAGUUGAGCAUGGUGAAAGGAUGUCGUGUUGUGAGACAUGAGUAAAACUCUGGCUUUCAAGAAAGCCCCUUCCAGAAGGCCUCUCUGUGUUUGAAAAGCAGUUGAUGCUGUUGGACCCAAUCCUGGUUAGGACGUGUGACUACUACUACAGCAUAUUAGUAUAAAUUGUAAUAACUUGAAUAAGUUGAUCUAUAUUAUUUGCUAUUAAUGUAAUUAUUUUUACUGAGUUUGUAAUCUGUACAAUUUAUUAGUGAAAUUGCUUUCAGAAGUAUGCUGCUCCCCUCACUGCUGAGUGUGUCUGGUCUGCUAGAUUUAUCGCAUUACAAUACAAAUCAGUAUGCAGAGGGCUAUUUAUAAAGUCUUGAAGCUCUGUGCCAGCAAACUUAAAAUUAACAGUGAACAACUAAUUAACAAUUAUACAACUUGAAAGGAGUGCUAAUUAAAAAAGUUUUUAAGAGAUGAGUUUUCAAUCGAAAUACAAAAUAAGUCAGAGACUUGUGUGCCUGAAAUAGAAUUUUGGACCAAUGAGCAGAAAUGCAAAAAAGCACUAGCUGUAUGUGAAACAAAUUUUUAAUUUUCUCUUCAGGUAACUCUCUGCAAGUCUUUAGGAUCAAAAGAAAAUUCACUGUUUUGGAUAGAAAUUAUAAAUCGGUGUAUUUUUCAGUUGUCAUGGUGUUUCAGUCAUUAUAUGUUGGGGUGUGUUCUAUCAUGGAGAUUUUGGCUUAGAGAUCAUGACUGUAUCAAACAUGACUGUUGUCUGAAACAGCAAGACAGAAAUUGUCUGGAAGACUUCAUGUUACUCGCUUAAAAGCGUUCAAGUCUGGUAGUUGGGGGAGCUCUGUAUGUUUUGUGUUGUUUUUCUCUUUUCUUUUUUUUCUGUUAUGUCCUGUUCUUCCCUAGAAUGUCAAGAAUUGGAGCUUCAGAAGUGGUUUAAACACUAUGUGUUUACAAGAAAAAAAGUUGUGAAGGUGCAUAAAUUGAAUAAAGUAGUGUUAAAAAACUGAUUUGUUUGCAGGCUCUCUGAAGAGAUCUUUCAAAGUUGUCUGUUUUCAUGCAUUGUAUCUUACCUAUGAGUAUAUAUGUAGGACGAUGAAGAAGUCACGAGAUUAUUUUUGAUACAGCAGAGUUAUGUCUGCAUGUUAAUUCAGCAGAUGGUACUUGGUUUAUCUGUAUUUGCCUUUGAAUACUGAUGGGUGCAGCUUCUUUAAACAUGAAUCUUUGUCAAACCUUACUUCUUGCAACUAAGUAUAUCUCUAGGAAGACCUCUUUUUUUUUUUUUGAGAUGUUAUUUUUGAUAGUGUGUCUCUUUUCUGGAAAUCAUGUUUUCUAAGGAGUAUGUUUGGCAAUCUAAAGGAAGUAAUGAGAUCUGUGGAGAGGGAAGGCUGAAUUCUACUGAGCAUUAGACUGGAGAUCUGGGUUCGGUACUACCUCACACUUA